rnacentral:rRNA from 1 species
GACGAACGCUGGCGGCGUGCUUAACACAUGCAAGUCGAACGGAAAGGCCUCUUUCGGGGGGUACUCGAGUGGCGAACGGGUGAGUAACACGUGAGUAACCUGCCCUUGACUUUGGGAUAACUUCAGGAAACUGGGGCUAAUACCGGAUAGGAGCUCCUGCUGCCUGGUGGGGGUUGGAAAGUUUCGGCGGUUGGGGAUGGACUCGCGGCUUAUCAGCUUGUUGGUGGGGUAGUGGCUUACCAAGGCUUUGACGGGUAGCCGGCCUGAGAGGGUGACCGGCCACAUUGGGACUGAGGUACGGCCCAGACUCCUACGGGUGGCAGCAGUGGGGAAUAUUGCACAAUGGGUGGAAGCCUGAUGCAGCAACGCCGUGUGCGGGAUGACGGCCUUCGGGUUGUAAACCGCUUUCGCUCAUGACGAAGCUUUGUGUGACGGUAGUGGGUAAAGAAGCACCGGCUAACUACGU